rnacentral:rRNA from 1 species
UACGUAGGGUGCAAGCGUUGUCCGGAAUUAUUGGGCGUAAAGGGCUCGUAGGCGGUCCAUCGCGUCGGGAGUGAAAAGCUGGGGCUCAACCCCAGUCCUGCUUCCGAUACGGGUGGACUAGAGGUAUGCAGGGGAGAACGGAAUUCCUGGUGUAGCGGUGAAAUGACGCAGAUAUCAGGAGGAACACCGGUGGCGAAGGCGGCUCACUGGCCCGAUACUGACGCUGAGGCACGAAAGCGUGGGGAGCAAACAGG